rnacentral:rRNA from 1 species
UGAAUACGAGACGCUAAGGCGUCGAAGUAGUGUAUGUCAUACUUCCAAGAAAAGCUUGCACUGUCAUAGAUAAAAAACGCCUGUACCAUAACCGACACAGGUGGGUAGGUAGAGUAUACUAAGGGGCGCGAGAUAACUCUCUCUAAGGAACUCGGCAAAAUAACUCCGUAACUUCGGGAGAAGGAGUGCCUUAUUCGUAAGGUUGCAAUAACAAGAUCCAAGCAACUGUUUAUCAAAAACACAGGUCUCCGCUAAGUCGUAAGACGAUGUAUGGGGGCUGACGCCUGCCCAGUGCCAGAAGGUUAAAGAAGUUGGUUAGCAAUUGCGAAGCUGAUAACUGAAGCCCUGGUGAACGGCGGCCGUAACUAUAACGGUCCUAAGGUAGCGAAAUUCCUUGUCGGGUAAGUUCCGACCCGCACGAAAGGCGUAAUGAUUUGGAUACUGUCUCGGAGAGGGGCUCGGUGAAAUAGACUUGUCUGUGAAGAUGCGGACUACCUGCACCAGGACAGAAAGACCCUAUGAAGCUUUACUGUAACUUGAAAUUGAAAUUGGACUUUAUUCGCGCAGUAUAGGUGGGAGGCGUUGAUUAUAAUCUUGUGGGAUUAUUGGAGCCAUCAGUGAGAUACCACUCUUGUAAUGUUAGAUUUCUAACUUUGAAUCAUUAUCUGGUCAAAGAACAGUUUCAGGCGGGCAGUUUGACUGGGGCGGUCGCCUCCUAAACGGUAACGGAGGCGUACAAAGGUUUCCUCUGAACGGUUAGAAAUCGUAUCUAGAGUGUAAAGGCAUAAGGAAGCUUGACUGUGAGACCUACAAGUCGAGCAGGGACGAAAGUCGGUCUUAGUGAUCUGACGGUACUGAGUGGAAAGGCCGUCACUCAACGGAUAAAAGUUACUCUAGGAUAACAGGCUGAUCUCCCCCAAGAGUUCACAUCGACGGGGAGGUUUGGCACCUCGAUGUCGGCUCAUCGCAUCCUGGGGCGGUAGUACGUCCCAAGGGUUGGGCUGUUCGCCCAUGAAAGCGGUGCGCGAGCUGGGUUCAGAACGUCGUGAGACAGUUCGGUCCAUAUCCGGUGUAGGCGUUAGAAUAUUGAGAGGAGCCUUCUUUAGUACGAGAGGACCGAGAAGGACAUACCUCUGGUGUACCAGUUAUCGUGCCAACGGUAAACGCUGGGUAGCUAUGUAUGGAGUGGAUAACCGCUGAAAGCAUCUAAGUGGGAAGCCCACCUCAAGAUAAGUAUUCUC